rnacentral:rRNA from 1 species
CAAGUCGAGGGGCAGCACGAUGUAGCAAUACAUUGGUGGCGACCGGCGCACGGGUGCGUAACACGAUAUGCAACUUACCCUUUACUGGGAGAUAGCCCGGAGAAAUCCGGAUUAAUAUCCCAUAACAUUCGAGGAGGAUUCUCCUUGUCUUGAAAGCUCCGGCGGUAAAGGAUGGGCAUGCGCCCGAUUAGCUAGUUGGUGAGGUAACGGCUCACCAAGGCUACGAUCGGUAGGGGGCCUGAGAGGGUUAUCCCCCACACUGGUACUGAGACACGGACCAGACUCCUACGGGAGGCAGCAGUGAGGAAUAUUGCGCAAUGGAGGCAACUCUGACGCAGCCAUGCCGCGUGCAGGAAGAAGGCGCUACGCGUUGUAAACUGCUUUUAUCCGGGAAGAAACCCUCCGACGUGUCGGGGGUUGACGGUACCGGAGGAAUAAGCACCGGCUAACUUCGUGCCAGCAGCCGCGGUAAUACGAAGGGUGCAAGCGUUAUCCGGAUUCAUUGGGUUUAAAGGGUGCGUAGGUGGGGCGGUAAGUCAGUGGUGAAAUCCUGCAGCUUAACUGUAGAAUCGCCAUUGAUACUGUCGCUCUUGAGUACGCUUGACGUGGGCGGAAUGUGCCGUGUAGCGGUGAAAUGCUUAGAUAUGGCACAGAACACCGAUAGUGAAGACAGCUCACGAAGGCGAAACUGACACUGAGGCACGAAAGCGUGGGGAUCGAACAGGAUUAGAUACCCUGGUAGUCCACGCCGUAAACGAUGAUCACUCGUCAUUGGCGAUAUACUGUCAGUGACCUAGCGAAAGCGUUAAGUGAUCCACCUGGGGAGUACGAUCGCAAGAUUGAAACUCAAAGGAAUUGAC